rnacentral:lncRNA from 1 species
UGGUCACCACCAUUCUCAGAGCAUUUGUGCAAACUAUGAAACUGUGCCACAAUGUAUCCUGCAGCAUAGCAGCAGGAUUAGCGGCAGUUUUAGUAUGGAUGUUGGCUUCCAGUUCCUUCAAUGUUACUGGGCCUAUUUGUCUGAUGUCCCAAUUUCCCAAAUCUUUCAAUUUGGCUGGCAUGUUUACUGGAUCUGACAACUGUAAUUUCUUUUUCUGGAAGUUGUUGAAGUCCCAAGUCUUUGAAUCCUGCCUGGCAACAUGGAGAAACUGAAGACUAACAUCCGUAUUGAAAUUGUUGCUGUUCCUGCUGCU